UACGUAGGGUGCGAGCGUUGUCCGGAAUUAUUGGGCGUAAAGAGCUUGUAGGCGGUUUGUCGCGUCUGCCGUGAAAAUCCGGGGCUCAACCCCGGACUUGCGGUGGGUACGGGCAGACUAGAGUGUGGUAGGGGAGACUGGAAUUCCUGGUGUAGCGGUGAAAUGCGCAGAUAUCAGGAGGAACACCGGUGCGGAAGGCAGGGUCUCUGGGCCAGUAACUGACGCUGAGAGCGAAAGCGUGGGGAGCGAACAGG
rnacentral:rRNA from 1 species